UUUUUCUUUCCCUCACCAUCCUCUCUCAACUCUCGGAAAUGAAACUACCGGAGGAAACCCAUUUCUCAUCUUUCUUUUUCUUCUCUUCUCUUUCUUCAAUCUCUAGCUAUCGUCGAUAAUGCCGCAAUCAUGAAAAACUGCAAUGCUUGAUAGCCCAAUAAUAGAUGUUUGCCCAUAUCAUCGAGAAGAUCGCCCAACUUCAAGCUAUUAGAAAGCUUAGCCUUUAGGGCAACGUUAUCACAGGGGCGAAAGGUACUGUAUCUAGGAUCUGCUCCAUUGCCUGGAUUUCAGGGAUCUUAUCCUUGAGCCGAGUUUCAAUUCCCAUCCGUGCGCGCUUUCAUCCCAAAAAUCAGUUGCAGCUUGUGCAAGUCCUCGCUUGAGAAUGAUUCCUCCACAGAACGAUUAUGCAAGUCCUCGUUUGACAAUAAGUCAUCGUACUGUCAAAACCCCCCUGUACAAUGCGUUCACGGAACCCGCUGCUAGCAACGAGAGAGCGAGCACUCCUCUGAAGACCUGAGGCUUGCAGUAGCCUGUACCACCGAAACAGGGAUCGGAUAAUUCUUCAAUUUUACAUUCAAUUCUUUCAAUCUAUCUGUUCCCUUUAUGCUUUCUCUUUGUCUUUUAUUUUUUUCCUUUUUGCUUCUCUUUAUUUUGUUUGUUGCAGGUUGAACUAAAGCCAAUGGCUGCCGGUAAUUCCUCCUCCAUAAGAAAAUCUUCGUCAUCUCACAAGAAGAAGCACAAAUCGUUAAGCAUGGGUGGAAAAAGUCAAAUGUCCAUUUUGCCCUACUAAUUGAUUUUCAGAGGGAAGGUAUCCUCUCUAGCUACUCUUCACUCUUCCACUACUAAAGGUCAUCGACCAUAGAAGCCGAGGACUCGCAGCGGCCAAAAUUGUCGUCGGUGACGGAAAGCUCCUCUUCACUCUUGCACUAAAGGACGUCGUCGACAAAAAUCGAUAACUCGCAACGGCCAAAAUCGCCAUCGGCGACGGAAAGCUCCUCUUCACUCUCGCGCUAAAGAUCAUCGACGACAUAAAUCUAGGACUCGUAGCGGCCAAAAUCUCCGUUGGCGACGAAAAGCUCCUCUUCACUUUCGCGCUAAACACGUCGUCAGCAAAAAUCAAGGACUCAUAGUGGACAAAAUCGUCGUCAGUGACAGAAAGCCUCCUCCUCAUUCUCGCACUAAAAGUCGUCAGUGACGAAAAGAGGGAGACAGAGAGAAUGAGGGAUCUCUGCAACAAAACCAAACUUAUCUUGAACUGCAUCAGACCCUGCAACCCAUGGCGUGAACGAACCCUUCCUGUGGGAAUUCGGUUUCUGCGUUCGCCAUGUCUGUGAAUAACUAUGGCGCUCUAGCUGAACCUAAUUGCAUGUGGGAAUUUGGUUGCCGUCAUUCCAUUCUCAUCGGUAAAUAAAUCAAAAGCUCCAAGCAAGUAAACAAUUAUCUAGAAAUCUCUUCCCAUAAUGGACCUUUGAGAGUGGAAUCAUAGAAAGCAACAUCCGUUUUCAGAUUAUAUCUUCAAAAACACCAAUGUUUCUUGAGGAGACAUUUGGUGGAUAACCAAAUAGGGGUGAUGAGAUGUUUUGUUUGCAAUGGAACAAGGGAUUAUCCAUUGGGUGAUAGGAAACCGAAAGGGAUUGGAGGAAAAUGAAUGGGGAUAUAAAACGGUGGCGAAGAUGGUAAGAUUUACAUCAAAAUCGGGUGGAAAAUAGGAUUUACAUUAGAAACUAGGGAAAGAGAUUACCCUUCUGCAAGAAGCCCAGGCAACCGUAGCCAAUCCUCAGCGUGUGUGAAGAGGUUUCAUUGCUGGAGGGAUAGUUGUUCAGGUAAAAGAAAAAGAGAGGGAUUGUUGGUCCAUGACAACUUGGCAUGUGAUUGUGCAAACCUUGUUUUUGACGACCGAGUUCCCAUUUAUCAAAA